GAUGAACGCUGGCGGCGUGCCUAAUACAUGCAAGUCGAGCGAACGGACGAGAAGCUUGCUUCUCUGAUGUUAGCGGCGGACGGGUGAGUAACACGUGGAUAACCUACCUAUAAGACUGGGAUAACUUCGGGAAACCGGAGCUAAUACCGGAUAAUAUUUUGAACCGCAUGGUUCAAAAGUGAAAGACGGUCUUGCUGUCACUUAUAGAUGGAUCCGCGCUGCAUUAGCUAGUUGGUAAGGUAACGGCUUACCAAGGCAACGAUGCAUAGCCGACCUGAUAGGGUGGUCGGCCACACUGGAACUGAGACACGGUCCAGACUCCUAGGGGAGGCAGCAGUAGGGAAUCUUCCGCAAUGGGCGAAAGCCUGACGGAGCAACGCCGCGUGAGUGAUGAAGGUCUUCGGAUCGUAAAACUCUGUUAUUAGGGAAGAACAUAUGUGUAAGUAACUGUGCACAUCUUGACGGUACCUAAUCAGAAAGCCACGGCUAACUACGUG
rnacentral:rRNA from 1 species